rnacentral:miRNA from 1 species
CGAGCCGAAUCAAUACCACUC